AAAUAGAACUUUGCAGAGAGAGUUAAGAGGGCGUGAACCGUUAAUUGGCAAACGAAUCGGAGCCACGAAGUCGUUUCGUAGUAUGAGCCUGGGCUGAGUUCAGCUUAAAUUGGGUGCGAGAGCAUUUAGUUUGGGUGUAUUCUCGUGUCUGGCCAACUUUGUAAGCGUACACUGCAACCAGUUAGACGAUUGGUGAUGGGCACAGUUUGCUAUGCGACUUCGGUUGUGUAGUAGACGAAGCAUUGUUUGUGCAAGUUAGUAGUAGCGUUUUAGUUCUUUCGGGUUCUAUGGUGUUGCUGGAUUUGUGCAAGUGAACUAUGAACCAAAUACUGACUGGCAAAAUGAAAAUCGCUUCGGCGUUGUAUAAAAUGCAACUUGUUGCAUUUAGGCCUACACUUGCUGGCCAUGUAGUCUUUAAGCUUGGUAUUUUUGAAUUUAGACUUGCCAGCUACCAGUGGGGCAACUCCUGGUGCUGGUAUAGCUUCUAUCUAAUCGGAUGCCGACUUGGCUGUAUGUUGUCUGGUGGUGCUACGAUAGGGUUUAAAUGUAAGCGAGUUUGCUAGAAUUGGCAGUGAGUAGGUCGGCUUUCCGAACGACCCGUCUUGAAACACGGACCAAGGAGUCUAAUUAGGCAUCGAGUCGAUCGGUCUUGAUAGGCCAGAAUGAGGGAGUUUUCUUCUCUCCGAAUGAAGGCGUAGAGAAAUCAAAUCAUGUGAUCGUUUGUGACUACACCAGUUUGAACGCGCAACAUGUGCCUGUUCUCAAGGAAAUGUUAGCAAUAACUUUCCGAGCGGAGCAAAGAGAUGCCUGAUUGGUACCCGAAAGAUGGUGAACUAUGCCUGGGCAAAUUGAAGCCAGAGGAAACUCUGGUGGAGGAUUGUAGCGAUUCUGACGUGCAAAUCGAUCGUCAGACCUGGGUAUAGGGGCGAAAGACUAAUCGAACCAUC
rnacentral:rRNA from 1 species